rnacentral:rRNA from 1 species
UACGAAGGGGGCUAGCGUUGCUCGGAAUCACUGGGCGUAAAGGGUGCGUAGGCGGGUCUUUAAGUCAGGGGUGAAAUCCUGGAGCUCAACUCCAGAACUGCCUUUGAUACUGAAGAUCUUGAGUUCGGGAGAGGUGAGUGGAACUGCGAGUGUAGAGGUGAAAUUCGUAGAUAUUGGGAAGAACACCGGUGGCGAAGGCGGCUCACUGGCUCGUAUCUGACGCUCAGGCGCGACAGCGUGGGGAUCGAAACAAGGAUUAAGAU